ACAUGGUAUGCUACCAUUUCUUUUUUUUUUAAGGCUAUAUACUGGUAUGUGUGGUGUUUUUGUUUUGUUUUGUUUUGUUUUUUUGAGACAAGAUCUCACUCUGUUAUCCAGGCUGGAGUGCAGUGGUAUGAUGACAGCUUACUGCAGCCUUGACCUCCCAGGAUCAAGUGAUUCUCCCACCUCAGCCUCCCGAGUACCUGGGACUAUAGGCAUGCAACACCACACCUAGCCGAUUUUUUAUUUUUUGUAGACAUGGGGGUCUCGCUAUGUUGUCCAGGCUGGUGUUGAACUCCUGGGCUCAAGUGAUCUGCCUGCCUUGGCCUUCCAAAGUGCUGGGACUACAGGCAUGAGCUACUGUGCCUGGCCUGUAUGUGCCUUUAUAUGCAUAUGUAUCUUUGAAGAGGGAUCCAAGAAACAGUGGCUUACCUUUAGGGAGAGAAAUCAGACAGCUGAAGGGGAAGGGGUGGAGGUUUCUUAUCAUUGUUAACCCUCUUUACGCUUCCCCAGCCAUACCGUCCAGAAUUGUGCUUCCUAUAGAAAUAGCUCCCUGAGGAGCCUUGCUCACUCCAUAGCCACUGCAGCACAGAAAAGCAGCGAAGGACUGCCAAGUGGUCCCAGGCCAUCCAGCAUUAUCUGGAUGGAAUUAAAGCCCCGCCCAACCCCACAUUACCCAUAAUGUGCUAAAAGUCUUUUUUAAAAAAUCUGUAUUCUUUAACCUGGAGAUUUUCUUUCUCUUUUUUUUUUUUUUAACUGCUCCUUGUGGAGCAGGGUGUAGGAAGUGUGCCCAGAAUAGCCAGAGAACUUAUUUCUAAGAGAAUUGAUCCUAAAGAAGAAAUUUCUAAAUUGUCAAAAAUGUAUACCAAGGAGGUUCACCAGUGUUGUUGAUAAUCAGAAAAAAACGGAACUCAACUGCAAUGAUGCAGAGACAGUGAUGGGAAAGACAGAGCAAAUUCCAGAUUGUGAGCAGCCACCUGCAUCCUCUAUGCCUGAGCGGCCCAGCCAUGAGAGCCAGCCGACCCCACAGAUGAUGCCCCUUUCAGCACCAUCCAGGGCCGAGGAGCUGGGGCAAAGGCCUGGAUAGCAGUGCCUCUGGUUUGCAGGUACAGCAGAGCCCAGGGGGGUCCCAAGUCAGCAGUCAAGGUUCUGCAAUGCUCAGAACACAGGACCAACAGACAGGUCUGUACUGCCCACCCCUCAGUUCUUUACAGUGAAGAGAAGCGCUGGACUUCAGAGACACUUAGGAAACAAAUUUCAGACACUGCUACAACCUGAUGUCUCUGAGACAUCCACACCACAAAUGGACAAGGAAGUUUAGGUUUCCCUCUUUCUUCAUCACCACGUCACGAAAAGUCCAGCUCCAAGUAAAACACGUCCCCAGAAUUACCAUCUCUGGAAUUAAACUGAAGUCCCCUCUUUUCAGGCCACCUUUGAAAAAGUUCUAAUUUAGCACAGAAUCCUCUCACAAGUUAUUCCACAGUGCUUCUUUUCCAAUCUGGACUCUAUUGUUAGUAGCCUGGUCAGUUCUCCAUUUGAGUAAUUCCAUCGUAUGUGCUUAUUAUUCAUAUAUAAUUCCGGUACCUAGGGGCAAAAAGGACUGGAUGCUGUUAAAUAAUUAGCUGCAUGCCAACUUUGGGUCCCAAAGCCAGAGCCUGUAGUCCCUGCUCCAUCAUAACGCCGGGGAAGGUGGUACAAAUCAGGCCCUCCACAGCCAGCAGUGCCAUCUGCCUCAACCAAAGAGCAGAGCGAGAGUGGAGGGCCUGGGGAGCCUCCAGGUGUAUACACCCUUCACUAACGUACCCUCCAACUCUCCCCAACUCUAGACUUCUAUGAAGAUUCUGCCCAAGGCUUUCCACUCAGUACCCAGCCAGGCACACCUGCAGCUAACCGCCCCCGGCUCCUCAGCAGUGUCAGUCUGAGGGUGAUGCUGCCACAAGCCACAAGCCCUGAGGACCCUGCUCUGUGUCACCUGGGCCAUGCUGUUGAAGCUCUGUGAUGAGCCAUACAAAAGGAACAAAAAUAGAACAAUGAACCUUUCUGUCCCCAUCACCUGACUUCAACAGUUACCAGCCCAAGGCCAAUGUUUCCUCUGUACCCCAACUCCCCAGAUUAUUUUGAAAUAUUGCAUUUUAACUCUGAAAUUCUUUUAAGCCAAUUUAGGGAAAAAAAAAUACUCACUUGCAGUCAAAUAUAUGCAAGUCUGCUGAGGCCCAAACUUCAAAACGAACUGCUCCACAGUGGCAGCCUCCUGUGUGCUUCACCAGGCCCUGGUAUUCACUAAAUGAAACAAAAAUCAGAAAGAUAAUAAUUUCUGAAUAGCUGCCUCCUGCUCUCUUUUUGUUGUUGAAAGAAAGACAAAAGAUUAGACAAAAGUCUUUUCUACAUGACAACCAGAUGCAUUUCUGCUUUUAAGGAGGCACUGUCAAUUUCCUAAGUGAAGAAUGGUUUCAGCACCUUCUUUGUCCAUGAGCUCUCUUUUUGCCAAUUUCUUAAAUUGUAUUAAGUUGCAAAAUAAAACAUUCCAAACAUUUCGAAAA